UACGUAGGGACCAAGCGUUGUUCGGAUUUACUGGGCGUAAAGGCGCGUAGGCGGCCUUGCAAGUCACUUGUGAAAUCUCCGGGCUUAACUCGGAACUGCCAAGUGAAACUGCUGGGCUAGAGUGCAGAAGGGGCAAUCGGAAUUCUUGGUGUAGCGGUGAAAUGCGUAGAUAUCAAGAGGAACACCUGAGGUGAAGACGGGUUGCUGGGCUGACACUGACGCUGAGGCGCGAAAGCCAGGGGAGCAAACGGG
rnacentral:rRNA from 1 species